UACAGAGGGGGCAAGCGUUAUUCGGAAUUAUUGGGCGUAAAGGGCGCGUAGGCAGCUUUUCAAGUGGCGGGUGAAAUCCCUCGGCUUAACCGAGGAACUGCCUGCCAGACUGGAAGGCUUGAGACCGGGAGAGGUGAGUGGAAUUCCCAGUGUAGCGGUGAAAUGCGUAGAUAUUGGGAGGAACACCAGUGGCGAAGGCGGCUCACUGGACCGGAACUGACGCUGAGGCGCGAAAGCGUGGGGAGCAAACAGG
rnacentral:rRNA from 1 species